CUCCUACGGGAGGCAGCAGGAGGGAAUAUUGGGCAAUGGGCGAAAGCCUGACCCAGCAACGCCGCGUGGAGGAAGACACCCUUCGGGGCGUAAACUCCUUUUAUAGCCGAAGAUUAUGACGGUAGGCUAUGAAUAAGCACCGGCAAACUCCGUGCCAGCAGCCGCGGUAAU
rnacentral:rRNA from 1 species